AGGACCUGUUCCCUCUGUAGAUAUAAAGGGCUGAUUCUAAGGGUUUUUCCAGUGAUGAUGACACCAGGGAGAAAACCGGACCGAGACAAGACCACGGUCACGUUUUCCAGUCUCUGACCGCCCGGCCGCCCCCACAGAGAGACUCCAUGUGUGGGAUCAGGUGACCUUUCACACUGUGAGUCACUCUCAGCUGGAGCUCACGUCCGCCCUCCAUCACCAUCACCAUUAUCAUCAUCAUCACCAGCAGCAGCAGCAGACUGAGGUACCCUGAGUGUGUUCAUGCUGCUGUUAUGCACGCCCCUCCACCUCCCCAUCGCCACCUGGUCUUCACAGAUUCAUCAGCUUCAUCAGCCUCAUCAGUGUCAGCAGAGUCAUCAGCCACCAACACCACCAGUGUUUGGACUCUGCGGGGGGAUUUAUCUUGCAGCUGCUCCUCGAUUACAAAAUCUGCCUGUAGAGUCUAAAGCGCCAAAGACUUUCUUGACAAGACGUGU